rnacentral:rRNA from 1 species
CAGUAGCCGCGGGAAUACGUAGGUGGCAAGCGUUGUCCGGAAUUAUUGGGCGUAAAGGGCUCGCAGGCGGACAUAUAAGUCCAUCUUAAAAGUGCGGGGCUCAACCCCGUGAGGGGAUGGAAACUGUAUGCCUUGAGUGCAGGAGAGGAAAGCGGAAUUCCCAGUGUAGCGGUGAAAUGCGUAGAUAUUGGGAGGAACACCAGAGGCGAAGGCGGCUUUCUGGUCUGUAACUGACGCUGAGGCUCGAAAGCCAGGGGAGCGAACGGGAUUAGAUACCCCUGUAGUCCCUGUCUCUUAUACA